rnacentral:rRNA from 1 species
GGAAUAUUGGACAAUGGGCGCAAGCCUGAUCCAGCCAUGCCGCGUGGGGGAUGAAGGCUCUUGGGUCGUAAACCCCUUUUGCCGGGGAAGAUCGUGACGGUACCCGGCGAAUCAGCCACGGCUAACUACGUGCCAGCAGCCGCGGUAAUACGUAGGUGGCAAGCGUUGUCCGGAUUUAUUGGGCGUAAAGAGCGCGCAGGCGGUUCGCAUAGUCCGAGGUGAAAUCUCCCGGCUCAACUGGGAGGGGUCUUCGGAUACUGGCGGGCUUGAGGAGAGCAGAGGUGAGCGGAAUUCUCGGUGUAGUGGUGAAAUGCGUAGAUAUCGAGAGGAACACCAGCGGCGAAGGCGGCUCACUGGGCUCCACCUGACGCUGAGGCGCGAAAGCGUGGGGAGCGAA